UACGUAGGGUGCGAGCGUUGUCCGGAAUUAUUGGGCGUAAAGAGCUCGUAGGCGGUUUGUUGCGUCUAUUGUGAAAACCUGCAGCUUAACUGUGGGCUUGCGGUGGAUACGGGCAGACUUGAGUUCGGUAGGGGAGACUGGAAUUCCUGGUGUAGCGGUGAAAUGCGCAGAUAUCAGGAGGAACACCGGUGGCGAAGGCGGGUCUCUGGGCUGACACUGACGCUCAUGCACGAAAGCGUGGGGAGCAAACAGG
rnacentral:rRNA from 1 species